GUAAAUGACAAACAGUUUAUUCUAAUAAUCUGUAUAUUCCAAUAACCCAAUUAUUGCGGUAAUGUAAACGGGCUCAAUCUGUAAUGUCCAGUGGACUGGCCACAUCUCGCCUUCUUAUCUGCAAGGAGGACCUGUGAAAGGGCUUUCUCCUGCUCCAAGAACCGUGCAACCAUCUGCUGGCGGGACCCCCACCUGGUGGGUGUUUCCGUGAUUAACUGGUGGUGAGGCAAGCCCAGUGCUGCUUGGGCUUUGGCCAGUUCCCUUCUCCUCUUCCAAGAGUUGGAGAAGGCACUCACCACUCUCUUGCAGACACCCACUGCUCUCUCCACAGCCUGCCUUGUGGAUGUUGGGGUGAGGUUUUUUAGAGAAUUCUCUGUUGAAAUCAAAAGAAAAAGUGAUGUAAUAACAUAUUUGACAGCAUAUUUUUUUUCUAUAAUCAUGGAUCACUUGAAUGAGUUAUGGAUUGUUUUAAAAAUUAGAUAGUAAGGGUAUUAUGAUAUGAAUUUAAAUUAAUUUAUUUAAAUGUAUAAAUGUAUUGUAAUAUAAAUAUAUAAUAUAACUAUUACAAUUUUUGUAUUUGUUGCUAUCCCUUUGCAAUAUUACUCUAACUCUAAGCCAGGGCUGGGGAACCUUUUUCAUUCGAGGGGCCACUACAAAUUUCUCCAAUGGCCGUAAAAGUCCUUUGAGGGCUGUACUAUGAACACAAACCAGGAUUGCAGCCACCUUUAAAAUAGACCCCACCUUCUCUAGGUCCCAUGAAUAUAACUUAAUUGUAUUGCAAAUGUAAUUUCUAAGAUUCCUUUACAAAAUUUGUCCAUUUUAAUCAGUGUUUCCCACACAUUGACGAGACUAUGGCGCACCGCCAUAGUCUAAUUUCGACCGCCAUAGUCUCUGCGUGCACAUGAAGUUUUUUUUUUUUUUUUUUUGUCGCAUUGGGAUUGCAUGAGAGCACGAAGUUCGGCUGUCUGCCUGCGACUGUGCCGAAUAGCCUUCUGCAGCCGAAUCCAAGUUGGCAAUCCUUGAACUUUAUUUAAAUGAGUCUGGCGAAUCGUGAUGAUCAGUUUAGCGUGCGUGUGCUUACGUUGCAGAGGGUCUUGAGUUGUCUAAAAAAUAGAGAGAGCGCGACAUAGAGAGCGCGACAUAUGAGCACUACCUUAACAGCAUCCAUGAUCAGUAAGUUAACUAACUGUAAACAUACGAUGCUCACAGAGGUGAUGCAUUUUUAGAUGCAUACUGUUUGAGAACAUAGAACUCCGUUUGACCUAGUGCACACGCAAACAUAAAAACGGAGUUUCAGAGUUUUUAUAAAUGAUCAUUUCCCAUGAUAAAAACUCAGUUUUCGUGUAGCCUAAAUGAAAGGGCAAAACUUAUGAAAACAUGUGUUUUCCCAUAGUGUAAACGGGGGGUUUAUACAAAUGUAUAGCCUAUGAAACGAUUGAGAAGGUGACAUUUAGGCCACGCCAUUGUGUUUAAAUAGGCGCACACUGAAAAAAGGAGAUUGGACAUCUGUUGUGUAGAAUGUAUAUCUGCAGAAAGUGUAAAUAUAAUUAUUACGGUCAUGUUGGGAUAAAGUGAAUAAAUCCAGUAAAUGUAGCCUUUCAGCUGUCUCGCGAUAACCACGCAAUCAUACAUGACGCGCAAAUGCAACUGACGGACUCAGCUCAUUCAGUGGAAGAAUUUUGUCCAUGCGAGUCAAGACACAGUCAUCUCAACUAUGUAAGUAUUCAUGACUAAUAAUAGCUAUCUGGUAAUGAAUUUAUUUGGGGGUUAAAGUAACUAGAUGGCUGGACAAAGGCUUUUUCAAGAAAAAAUAAGUAAAUUAUAGAUUUAAUAUUUUAGCAUGCGAGGCAAUUACGAACCUUCCUCUACCAUUUAAGAUAGCCUACAUGUGACUAGCAAGCAGCAUAGCAUUUCCAUGUUAGUGAAACUAAUGUGUCAAACCUGGCAACAGAGUAGGUUUGUCUGAACUUGUGUAAUACUUUUGUGUGUUACGCUGGCCAUGCACCUGAAAUACGUCGGUUGCAAUUUCGUAUACAAUUGAUUAAUUGCAUCCAUGAUAAAAGUGUUUUUCUGUUGCUGCAGAUUUACAUUUUCUCACGUAGGCCUACACGGCGCUCUGUUACCGUGGGCUCAAGAUUUUUUGGAAUGUUUUGCCGUAUUUGCAGGCAGCAUAAGCCACCUGUAAGGAAUGGUCCUACAAAAAGACCCUUUGUGGAGGUUGGUGCUCUCCAUUACAGGAAGGAUUACCUGAAGCACCACAUCAGUACUGAACACCACCAACUGAGCAUGAAAUCCCAGCAGUCAGUCGCAUCAGGAUACUCCAUCAUGUCCACCUUCGAGCCAGUGAUACAUUUGGAGCACGAAGCUAUUAUUGGUGGUUUCAAGUGUCUUUACUGGCUGAUAAAAAAUGAGAUGGCUCACCACACCAAGUACCCCAAAUUGCUUAGUUUAGCCAGACUUUUGGGGUGUGAUUAUUUUGACAAGCUUAAGGUGGACCGCAGGAACAAUUAUCGCUCUCAUCGAAUCAUCGAUGAGAUGCUGGAAAUAAUUUCACAGAUUAUCGAAGAGCCCAUUAUUCAAGUGAUAAGGGCAUCCCAGGCCAUGAGCCUUGAGGUGGAUGAGAGCACGGAUGUGUCCACAUCUCGCCAGCUUGACCUGCAUGUCAGAUACCUGGAUAAUUAGGGACUGGUUUUCAACCAGUUCCUAUACAUUGUCUCAGUCCCUGAUGGGAGGGCUGACACUAUUGUAACUGCCAUUAAAACGGUCCUAAUGAAUAAGAAUAUGCCAACAGAGAAGAUCUAUGGAAUUGGCACAGACGGUGCUGCUGUUAUGACAGGGCGUUUGAAUGGAGUUGUGAAACAACUCACUGAUAGCUUCCCAAGGUUGUUGGUGUUGCUUGUGCUGCUCACCGGCUUGCACUGGCCUGUAGGGAUGCUUCCAAUGGUGUCAGAUACAUGGCAAUUUUCCGAGACCACCUCCAGGACCUGUAUUUGUACUUCCAACACAGUGCAAACCGGACUGCAGCACUGAAGACUGCUGCUACUACCCUGGGACUAGCUGACUUGAAGUUGAAGCAAGUAAAAGAUACAAGAUGGCUGUCCCAGCACCAGGCCAUUGGGGUAUUGCAGCGAAACCUCGCAGCUGUGCUUGCCACAUUAGCUGAGGAAGUUGAAGUGAAACGAUGCCCAGUGGCCAAGGGACUGUACACCUUUUGUGCCACUUACAGAUUUGUGGCAUCAUUAUAUCUGCAGGCAGAUGUACUGCCACAUCUUGCCCGUUUGUCCAAGAUUUUUCAGAAGGCACAUAAAGGAACAGGUUCCCAUCACAAUUGAAACCUUGAGACGCAUCAAGGAUGCCGGCACUUCUCCCCCACAUGGGUCUUUCCUAUCCUGUCUCCAUAGAGAUCUGGAUGACCCCUCAGGACUUGGAGCCCAGUCCAUACAUCAUGAGGAGGAGAGGAACAGGAGAGGACAAAGUCUUGACGACGUACCACGAGAGAAACAGUGGUCAAGAUUUGUGGCAGAUGUUGCCAGUCCUUACAUCAGUGGCCUGAUUCAUCACCUGGAGUGCAGGUUCGAGAAUCUGAAUCUUCUUGGGGCCUUCAGUGUGUUGGGACCACAGGCAACUUCACAAAGUGAUGAGCAGAAUAAUGCCCACCUUAAGAUCCUGGCCAACAAGUUUUUACCUGAGAAUGAGAUCAAUGUCAAUCAGGAGUAUCAGUCCUUCAGAGAGCAUAUCCACAGAGGACAAUUCAAGGACAAGAGCCAGGCUGACAUACUGAGACUCCUAGCAAGUGAGUGCGACGAAUGGGGGCUGAUAUACCCAUUACUCAGCCGCUCAGCAGCCAUUGCCCUUGUUGUGCCGGUGUCAAGCGUGAAUUGUGAAAGAGACUUUUCCACAAUGAACAGGGUUGCCGCCGUUGUCAGGAAAGAGGUGUGCCUUUGACAGGUCUCAACUGGUGGAAGUCCCCCACACGGAUCAAGGAAAUGUUUGCAAACAGCGAAUAAUCACCGGACUGCUUGAUUUGACGUAGUCUACCAUGAGCCUACAUCCGAUACAAAAGGGUGUUUAGGACCCAGCGGAAUGCAUUCUCUCCAGUGCUGCCCGAGCCAAUGAGACUUUUCCCGCCUCUCCCUUCAGCCUGUCAGCGUUCAGAACAAACUGGGCUUUAAACUUUAAGCGGUCCAUGACAAUGUAUGAAUAGAAAAGAUGAAUGGAAAUCACAAUAAGAGGAAAUUUGAGGAAGCACCAGCCUCAUUAAAGUCAGCCGUGUGGGAUCAUUUCGGCUUUAGUGUGGAGUGCGAUGAUCAGGGGAAAAAGACAGUUGACAAGCAAAGGACAGUAUGCAAACACUGUUUCUCGUCCUUCGUUUACUCCUUGGGUAGCACUUCGAAUAUGGCAGGACACCUUCGCCGCAGCCACCCAACUAUUAAUGUGAGUGGAACAGCUAGAAAAGAUCUGGGCUCAUCUAAGACCAUUCAAACAUCAAUCGCGUCGGCCUUUCAACAAAAAUACCCUGUGGAUUCGGACCGUCAUAAACGUAUCACCCAAGGGAUCGGCAUGUUCAUCGCCAAAGAUAUGCUGCCAUAUUCUGUGGUGACUGACAAAGGAUUCCGCUAUAUUAUGAAGACAGUUGAGCCUCGCUACAGCAUACCUUCGCGGACAUAUUUCAGUCGGAAAGUGGUCCCAGGACUUUAUGCGGUCUCUCGGGGUGAAGUUGAGGGGGAACUGAGAGACGCGGACUUCCUCGCCCUUUCCACUGACAGCUGGACGUCAAGAGCCACCAUCAGCUACCUGACGGUAACUGUCCAUUUCAUAGCAGACUGGGAGAUGAAGUGUUGCGUGCUGCAAACUCGUCCGGUGUACGAAAGCCACACAAGCCAACAUUUGGCUGAAGAACUACUGCAAGCAGCCACCGAAUGGAAGCUGGAGUGAGCGAACGUCACUAUCCCUGUCGCCACGGACAAUGCCACCAACAUAGUGAAUGCCAUCCGUGACACUUCUGCCUUUGGCCCGCAUAUUCCCUGCUUUGCCCACACGCUUAACCUGGCCGCGUAAAAAGCUGUUUCCAUCAAUGCUGUGUCCCGCCUGCUGGGGAUAGUCAGAAGAGUCGUCACCUUUUUCCACAAGAGCACCACUGCAGCCAACGUUCUGACACAAAAGCAACAAAUGCUCAGCAUACCGGAACAUAAAUUGAUCCACGAUGUCCCGACCCGUUGGAACACCGCGCACGACAUGUUGGUGCGGUAUGUGGAGCAGCAACCUGCAAUAUUCUCUGCCUUGCUGGACAAGACGGCGAAGAAGACGGGGAAAGACCUGGCCAUGCUCAGUGACGGCGAGAUGAAGCUGGCAGAAGGCCUUAUCCAGCUGCUUUCUCCACUAAAACAGAUGACAACACUGAUGAGCAGUGAAUCAACAGCUACAACAUCUGAUACUGCCACUCAAGACAAGGACACUACGAGCCAUGACCGCAAACCCACAAGACAGUCCAAUCAUCAGAGAAGCCAAGCGAGCCGUCACAGCAGACUUGGAGAAAAGGUACACAAAUCCAGAUCUGAUUGACUACCUGCACCGGGCUACAGCACUUGAGCCCAGGUUCAAGUCUUUACCCUUCAUUGAUGAAGCUGCCUGUGACCAAGUCUACAAAGGCCUUGUUGCAGACAUUCUGGACCAUGAGCAACAGGUUGAAGGCACACAUGCAGAGGAUGAAGAUGAGGAAAAGCUGCCAUCAGCAUCAGCGUUGCCCCCUCCCCAGAAGAAGACUGCAAUGUCUGACCUAUUUGGGGAGCUUUUCACAACAGGGGAACAACAUCCUAAACCUCUUUCGGCAACCAUUGAGGGGGAGGUGGCAUUGUACAGAGCAGCGGAAUCACUCCAUAUAGAUGGCAAUCCAUUUCAGUGGUGGAAAUUACAUCAGCACAAGUUUCCUUGUGUCUCAAAACAUGCCAAAAGGUAUCUCUGUGUCCCUGGGACCUCUGUUGCAAGUGAAGAGUGUUUUCCACUGCAGGUGAUAUCGUGAGUGCAACUCGUUCUUGCCUUUCCCCAGAAAAUGUUGACAUGCUUAUCUUUUUACAAAAGAACAUGAAAACAGAAUAGUGCCUAUAUUAGGCAGUUUAUUGACUUGAAAGUGCACUUGUUUUUGCACAUUUACUCUUUUAUUUACAUUUUAUAAGGCACUUUGUUUAAUUGUGUUAUUUAUGUUUACAUUUUAUCAGCCACUUUGAAAUGUUAUUUAUUUUCAUUUAGUUCACUUUGGCACAUUUAAAUGUUAUGUUCACAUUCUAUCAGUCACUUUUAUGUGUUAUUUGCAGUGUUGGGCAAGUUACUUCCAAAAUGUAAUAUAUUUCAUAUUACUAAUUACUUGCAUUUGAAAGUAAUAAGUUUCUUUACAAUAUUACCUUCUGUGUAGAGUAAUAAGUAAUAAGUUACUUAUUACUUUCACCAAAAUAAACAUUCAGGACAAGGCGGAGGGGGGGGGGCAAACAUUAAAGUCUAAUGAGGUCUAUAUUGCAUCUGCAUGUAGUGUGUACCAUGAAUAGCUGAAUUACAAUAAUGUUAUGAUAUAGAAUAAUUAAACAACCAAAACCUUUACACGACAUGACACAAACUCUUUUUCUAUGCCUCAUUUAUUAGCUCCUUAGUUACAAAGUGCAGCCACACAAACAUUUAACAAAAUAAGUUGCAUUUCCAUGAAAUCAAACAUGUUAAUAGUUUAUACUAUUUCAAUAAUAUAAUAAAAGUGCACUUCAAGAAUGACGUCUAACAGCCACCAGACAGGGCAUGUUUUGUAAUUAAGUAUUUUAGAACCUGAGCAUAUAUCCUGCCCUGAAAUAGCAGUAAAUA
ensembl:lncRNA